rnacentral:rRNA from 1 species
UGGGGAAUAUUGGACAAUGGGGGCAACCCUGAUCCAGCCAUGCCGCGUGUGUGAAGAAGGCCUUUUGGUUGUAAAGCACUUUAAGCAGUGAAGAAGACUCCAUGGUUAAUACCCAUGGACGAUGACAUUAGCUGCAGAAUAAGCACCGGCUAACUCUGUGCCAGCAGCCGCGGUAAUACAGAGGGUGCAAGCGUUAAUCGGAAUUACUGGGCGUAAAGCGAGCGUAGGUGGCUUGAUAAGUCAGAUGUGAAAGCCCCGGGCUUAACCUGGGAACGGCAUCUGAUACUGUUAGGCUAGAGUAGGUGAGAGGAAGGUAGAAUUCCAGGUGUAGCGGUGAAAUGCGUAGAGAUCUGGAGGAAUACCGAUGGCGAAGGCAGCCUUCUGGCAUCAUACUGACACUGAGGUUCGAAAGCGUGGGGAGCAAACA